UUCAGGUCCAUUAUCAUGAUCCGGUAUCAAAACCUUACGAGCUAACUUGUGCGCCAUCAUAUUUUCACUUAUGGGAACAUAACGAACCCUAGUCGAGACCAACAUCUCACACCACUAUUUGAAUCUCAUAAUCAAACCUCCGAUUAUGUUCCUCAAAAUUCUGAAAACAUCAUCGUUAAAGCUAGUCACCAGAUUCUCAUAAUCUGUGUUAAAAAUAACUUUUAUCAUCCCUUCCACAUUUACUUUUUCUACCGCUUUAAUCAUAGCUAUAACUUUGGCUUCUAUGGGAUUGUUGCUACCAUUCAUACUUAGAUUAAUUUGAUCUAUGAUUUCCCCUUCUUCAUUUUUGAAAAUAUCUCCAAGCCCCAAUUUCCCUUGAUUUAUCAAGCUAGGCAUCCGUGUAACACAAUAUCCAUCCUUUCUCUUUGGUACAAUGCGUCUUUGCAUCAACCUUAUCGUUGAUGGCUUUAUCAGCGUUGUUCUGGUGUCGGUAAAUGGUUGUUUCUUUGAUUUUUAAGUUGUAUCUCACAGCCAAUGGUAGCCACUCCAGAUUUCGAUCCUGAUCCCUUUGGCAACUCCAUUUUCUGGUAGAUUGAUGUUUUGGAAACAAUUAUGGGUCCGUUUAUUCCUAAUAUCAGGUAUCCGCUUCUCAUUGGUCUUA